rnacentral:rRNA from 1 species
GUCUACGGCCAUACUACCUUGAAUGCGCCCGAUCUUGUCUGAGCUCGGAAGCAAAGCAGGGUUGGGCCUGGUUAGUACUUGGAUGGAAGACUGCCUGGGACUACCAGGUGCUGUAGGCU